UUGAAUCUUUGAUACAUAUUUGUUGAGGAGCUUGUCAGAUCACUACCUUUCACUGAACAGUAAAACAUGGAUCAUUUAUUUCACCUCAUUUUGCACUUCAAUGCAAUUUCACUCUUUAGGUGGUUGUACUUGGACAGUUAAAUGAAGACUGUCUUUAAGGGUGCAGGGAUGGAGAACACAGCAUAUAUGAGAGGUGGGAGGGCAGAGACGCCUUGCGAUUCCUGUGAGGAGGGACUUACCGUCUCCUCCAAAACAGAAAUUCAGUGCUGCAGAGACGGUAGCAAAGUGCAGUUCUCUUGUUAAAACACAGGCUAAAAGCAGUGACUGCUUAACUUAUUAAGCAGAGAAAACCAAAAUGUCAUUUUCAACCAAAAUUGAGUGUUAGAGUUUAUGGUCUCUGUUAUGAUACUUUUCAAGACCUGGGAAAUAUUUGUAUCCUUUAGUGAAAAGGGGAAGAAUCAAUUACUGAAAGCCAUAAGCUUACAGUAACGGAGCCAAUUAAUCCUUUGUCAUCUUUGUUGAGUUUAGUUUUCUUCUGUUCUUAGCACGUCAGCUAGUAGAUCUUUGAUGAACUGUUGCUCCUCUUUAAAUGUUUCUUUUAUUAUAUUGAUGAUGUGCACUCAUUCAGUAUUCUUAUUUUAAGCUGCAGUAAUCACUGUACAUUUGAUUGCCAUCUGUACUUCCCUUGAAGCAGCUUUGCUUAUUACAGCCACACCUGCAUCUGUUUUGACUAGCCCACAUAACCUACACAUUUUUCAUCCAAAGCUAUCCCAUUACCUUAUUUAUGUCCAUUUAUUUUCAUAUAUAGUAUCUGCCAAAAUAGUAGCAAAAGUUUUAUCAAUGUGUAGAUUUCAAUCAGAAAAACCUAAGCAAAAGGAAAAAAAAGUGAUAUUCUAAAAGCCACACUUCUUUUAUCACCAGUGCAGUUUUUUCCAUCAUCAUAAACUUAGUUUUAUGAAAAUGUUAAUAUCUUGGAUUUAAACAUUGGGGUAGAAAUCAGGACAAAAUUUAAAUGUCAUAUCCAGGACUUAAUCUCAGAUAUUCUGGUAGAAGAUAUUUAGAUAAGGUUGUGGCUGCCUGUCAAGUUUUUUAAUUUUUUAAAUUAUAUAAUGUCAGAAAAUUAAAUCACAAAUGAGCCUUCCAGAUUGUGAGGAAAAUUACUUGGCUGAAAAUGACUUUGCAUAAUGCCCAAAUCUUGAAGUAUCUGCUCAGAUGUUUGUUCCAUCUGAAAUGCUGCCAAAUCCAUCUGUAUUGAGGAAAGAGCUAUGAGGUAGUUUCAGAGAAAGUGAAAACAAAACAAAGCAAAACAAAAAUGCUAUUACAGAAGUUGGACAGCCCAAUGUGUUAAGUAUUAUACACCUGGAACAAGAGCAGCAAAACUGAAGCUCUUUGGAAAGUUAUGGCAACAGUGGUCUGGGAAUUCUGGGCCUUUAGAAAUAAUCAUUCCCAGUGAUACAGGGAUGUGCAGCAUCCAGACACUGCUUAAUCACAGUGAGCUGCCGUCUUCCCUGAAUAAGUUGUAUCUUAUAACAUUGAAGUGAAUGAAAAUGUAUUAGUAUUUGAGAAUUUACUAUUCCUUCACCUCCUUGCACAUGUAAAUUAAAGAUGUUUUGGAAAAUAUGAGAACUUGAUGUUCACUGCCCUAGAGCACUAUUCUCCAACCUUUUAGAUUCCUGCAAUCUGUUAAUAAAAUAUUGUAGGACAACAACUCUAUAGACUGAUACAUGCUGCUCUCAAUCCAUAUACUACAUAUUAGGACAGCUUUUCUUUUCUAAAUGAGCAUGAAUAUAAAUAGAAAUUCUAGUAUUUUCUUCACCUACCCCAGUGAAUCAUCUUUAUAUUUUACUUGGGAAACUGCUACAGUUGGCUAGUGGGUCUUCACUUUUAUUGCUUUGAGAAAUGGAUAAAAGACAUAGACUAUCACCCCUCCAAAAAUGUGCAUAUGGCCCCAUACAAGACACAUGUACUGCCAGAGCUUGGGGAACUCCCUAGAAUCUACUCCUAGACCACCCUAGUGAAGUACCAUAGACCAUAUUGUCUAGAUGGGACAAAAUAAUAAAUUUUGACUAAGAACUUACUGUUUAGAGAGAAAAAAUAGUAAAUAAUGUUCAAAAUGAGAAGACAAUAACUGACAAGUCUGUGAUUUUUGGGUUAGAUGAGACCACUUUUGAUUUUUGAGGAAUAAAAGGAGUUAGUUUUUUGGUCCUGAUGUGUAAAAUGAUUCAUGGGGUUUCACAUACAGACAAGUAGUUUUCUUUUCAGCAAAUAUUUAACAUAUCUCUCAAUAUAUUUUUCACCAGUUUUUGGUAAAUAUGCAUUGCUAUAGGUAUACCAAGUUUUUUUUGUUAUGUUUAGUAACUAAUUUCAUUUUUUCUGUAUAUGUAAAUAUAGCUAUUGGACCCUGCAUUGAAAACCUUCUUAGUACUAACAACACUCCUUUUAUUAUUACCUUCAUAGUUACUUUAAAUGACAUAUUUAUUUCGAGUUUUACUUCUGGCUGAGUUGCAAAGUCUAUGAGAAUGUUACCUCCUGUCUCAGAAGCUUGUUAGUUAUUGUGCCACCUAAAUAUUGUAAUAAAAGUGUUUAAAUAAAAAUCUUCUUAAAAUUUAAAAUGA
ensembl:lncRNA novel transcript, overlapping GUCY1A3